AUCACUUCUUUGCCUUUUGGCUAAGAUCAAGUGCAGUUUUUUUUAUAUGACAUAUUAAGAGUUAUUUUGAUUCAUUUAUUUUAUAAAUCUUAGGACACUGUAUAGGUAAGCAGCAGGCUGCUUAAUUACAAAGACUGCCAGAUUGACUUACAGAAACCUUUCUUUGAGUUCCUUUUCC
rnacentral:snRNA from 1 species